AACUAAAUAUUAGUUUAGGUGUGUGUACACUUAUGAAGUUAGUUAUUCCAAGUUAUUUAUUUAUUUAUUUGUUUAUUUUCUGAAAUGUGUCGCUUUGGUUUUCAGUGGCAUUGCAUUGGCUGUACUUUUUACAUUAAAGGUGCAAAAUUUGUGAUAUAAUUGAUCUUUGUUUAAUUUUAUACAUCACAAAAAAAAAAAAAAAAAAAAAAAAACAGCUGUUUUAACAGGUUUGUAGACUUUUGUGCAUUACAUGACAGGUAUUACAUGACUCGGAAGGGGGAGGGAUGAGGAAUGGAGAUGAAGGGUCAGUUUGGAUUAUUAUAUAGACUUUUACGUCAAUGCAAAUCUCCACCCUUCUCUCAUGUAAACAGGAGCACACAGACAUAAUAAAGGCUCUUAGUGUUUUACAGAGCCACAGUGCAGUGAAAAUACAACCAGAAUCAUGGACUGCAUUUCCAUACUGCUGGUUUUGGCAACUGCACCCUGUCUUUUCUGUAUUGAGCUGAAUCAGCCUCCUGUCAUGGUAGUAAAACCAGGAGAAACAUUUACCAUUGCCUGUAAGAUCACUGGAUAUUCAGCUUCAGGCGGUGGCUCUACAAACUGGAUCAGACAUUCAAGUGGAAAACCGAUGGAAUGGAUUGGAUAUUUCUAUACUUCCAGUAGCAAUGGUGUCAAAGAUUCACUGAAAAAUAAGAUUAGUUUCUCAUCUGAAUCCUCCAGCAACGCAGUCAUUUUAACAGGACAAAACUUCAACACUGAAGACACAGCUGUGUAUUAUUGUGCUUGAGAUACACUGUACCACAAACUGCCACAGGACCUGCACAAGAACCUCUCUCUUCAAUAAAGACAUUUUCAAUAAAAAAGUUUAUUUGUUGACAUAA